UUUCCUCCCAUGCCCUGAUGAAUCGACAUCCUUGUUUUUUAUUGUGAAAGGAACGUUACAUCCAGAGCAUAAAUAAAUGAUCAAGAAAUCUGGUAGUGUGUUUCGCCAUUACAAUAAUUCCGCUCUUAAAGACGUGGAUUUCCGAUUAGCCCACAUUUCUUUUGAUGCAGACAACCGCUGAAAUUGUUAGCGGCAGGUUAUUCGAGACGUUCUACGUAUAUAGCAAUUGUCUUCAGGAGCUUUAAUGAAUUUUGAAAAUUUGAAGUGUUGUGCUUUAGAGGUAUCAUAUACAAGCUUAAGGUCUCCGGGUAAUUUGUAUGCCCUUCGAGAGCUGUCGCCUGUAGCCCUAUUGAAAUUCGUAACUACAGUUUGGAGCACUGGGGAAGCUAGAAGGCUUGUCCUGGCUCUCGAGAAAGUGUUUAAGCUGGAGGUGUAGGUUGAGGAGUUUGGGGUUGGUAACACAAAGGAUUUUUUAUGCCUUAGCAGUAGGAGUGACACAGGAUAAAAAAAAUGUAUGUGUGUCAAGCACAGGAAGCUGCUCAUGUGGUAGAAGCAUGUGUGUGUGUGUGUGUGUGUGUGUGUGUGUGUGUGUGUGUGUGUGUGUGUGUGUGUGUGUGUGUGUGUGUGUGUGUGUGUGUGUGUGUGUGUGUGUGCGCCCAUGCAUGCGUGCGUGUGUGUGAAUUCUCCUCAAAAGGGAGUAUGUGUGUAAGUGAGCUAUUUCAUUGCUGGUCUGUUUGCCAAGAAUUGGCAAGAAAGCACAAUAAUCAAUUUAACUUGAAAUAAUAAACUUCAAAGCAUACCGGCGUACUGGCGACAGCAGCAUACAAGCAUGCUGCUGUGUGACAAUCUUAAUGCAUGACUGCAACAUCUCGAAGGAGGCUUGCUUCUUCUUCAGUAAGCAGCACAAAGUCCAUAUUCUUGGCUUUUCUCGUGCAAACCAAAACGAGGCUCAUUGCCAAUGAUCUUGUCUUUUGCUCUAAUAGCAUUUGUUUAUCUUGUACUUAGAGCGUCGUUUCUCGCAGGUCAUGCAGAUGGUAGCAGCAAUUUCACAAUGCCCAGCCUUGGCGCCCCCCAUCAAGAGCAAGCCACUUGCGUUCGCCUUCAGACAGAUGGUUAAUGUCUUCUUGAAAGCGGUUGAGAAGACAACAUUGAUGCAAGAUUCCAGCAAUGCCAUGCGCUGCAUUUAUUGGUCAAGAUGCUCAGAGAAUGGAGUCCCUGCACCUCGUGGUUAACCGUGAACAUUUCUUUUUCUUUUGGAAAGCUAAAGGCCAUUUGCUGCAUCACUUGCAUUUUUGCAGCUCAGAUGUGUACUAUAUUUUUCUAAUUUUGAAUCAAUAUUGGCUGUUCAGUAUAAAAAAUGACGUACAGCGUGAAGGACAAGGACUGCGAGAGACACACUCCACUGACUUUCAACAAUAUUUUAUUGCGUUGCCACAUCGUGUGUGUAUACACAGAGGGGUCAUGCGCAGAAAAUGAAAGCCAGUCACAAGGGGUGUUCUAACAGCAAGUCAUUGUAAAAAUAACAUGGUCACUUGAAAAAAAAAACCACAAUUUCUAUCUGUUUAGAUACAAAAUUUCACUAGGGGUCAGCGUGAUAGAGGGGGCACUAACGCACACACUACCCAGUUUUCUGGUGAAAUCAGCUUCAAUAAUUUACCGGGUGAGCUGUGUCUCGCUAAAACUUCCGUAUCUUAAAGAGGGGCAUGCUGCCGCAGUCCCGGCAAUGAAUGCCCAAGUGGCCUUGAACAGUGUUAUUAACGUUGUUAUAGUGCUCUCUUAAAUGAUCAUUUAGGCCCCUGCCUAUCUGUCCAAUAUAUUUACUGCCUCAAAAUGGGAAUUUGGGAAACCACAUUCGUUGCACACAUCGCAAAACGUUUUCUGUGCCCGGCAGAGCAACAACUCUGACGUGAUUUAGGUACAUUUACACACUUACAGAGCCUUGCCAGCUUUUCCGGGGCUGAGAAAAGGACUGUGAUUUCUGCAGGUUCCCUAAUCUUUUUUAGCCUAUGGGAGACAUCAUGAACAUACGGUAGCACUGCAAACCUGUGUCUUUCAACCGGCUGGUUCCUUGACCGAGCGCGCUCAUCAUGUUUUGUGCACUUCAGGAGCUGUUCCGCUAUGGCUGAAAUUAAGGCCAAAGGGUAGCCAACCCAAGAAAGGCAAUCAGCCUGUGCAGCAAUGCUAUGUUGCAUCUCGUGUGAGCAAGAUUUAUUGAGGCUGUUAAGGAGGCAAAGCUUUACAAUAUCUCAUUUGAUUUUGUUGGACAGACAGGCAGGCGCCUAGACAAUCAUUUAGGAGAGCACGAUAACAACGUCCAUAACACUGUUCAAGGCCACUUCGGCAUCCAUUGCUGGGACUGCGGCUGCAUGCCCCUCUUUGAAGGUACGGAAGCUUUAGCGAGACACAGGUCAUCCGGGAAACUAUAGAAGCAGAUUUCACUAGAAAACUGGUUGGUAUGUGCAUUAGUGACCCCUCUAUCGUGCUGACCCCUAGUGAAGUCUUGUAUCUCAACAGAUAGAAAUUCUAAUGUUUAUUUUUUUCAAAAGACGAUGUUCUUAGUACAGUCACUUGCUCUUAGACACCCCUUGUGACUCAUAUUCUGCGCAUGCCCGCUUUUGUACAAAUACACAUGAUGUGGCAACGUAAUUAAAUAUUGUUGGAAGUCAGCGCAGUCUGUCAUCUCUCGCAGUUCUUGUCAUUCAAGCUGUAUGUAAUUUUAUCUCAUUAAUUGCAAACUAUCCCAAGAAACUACCCUUGUUCAGUAUAAUUAUAAUGUUUGAUACGACCAUUUGCUGGCAAAUGUUAACAGUGUGAUAUUUAACUUGAACUUUUGCAUGACUGCCUAUGCCUGUGUUCUUUUAGUAACCAGAGUAUGGCUAAUUUAUUAAACCAUAUUUGCUAAUUUGCAUGCUCAUAUGCUAUAGCAUGCCUUAAUCUUGAAUUACUGCAUCUAAGUGCAAAUAAUUUAGAAACUUACUAUGUAUUUUAAAACACUGUCCACAUUUUGUGCUCAGCAAAAUCGUUUAAUCAACAGUGGUUUGUUUUUAUCAGGUCUCCUACUGCACUUUGCACCCAGGCACUAGUAGAUGUGGAAUAUGCACUCCUUUGAUUUAUAGUAAGAAAAGAACCUAUUUUCAAACUACAUAUUGUAUAUGUACCAGUGCCUUAGAGUUACAAAACAUAAAUUUAUAGAAACUGGUAUUGUAGUUAGAAAAACCGCUACACAGCACCUUUAGCCCAGAGAACUCUCGUUUCACAAAAGAGGACAAACUAUGUAGGCACUAAAAAAUUCUACGUAUUUUUUGUGCUCAAGUAAUCUUGUUGGAAAUAGAAAAUUAGCAAUAAGGCUCCUGGCAUAAACCUCACCUAAAGCAUGUCUAUGCUUGGAAAGUAUUGUUUCAGUCUGAAAAAUGUUGGCCAGUUAUGCUUUACAUCGACUUUCCAAACUUUUCAUAAUGCUUUGCGAUUACAUUAGUGUACAAAAUAACAGGUGUCUUUCUUGUGCGUUUGCUCUGCAUUUCAAUUGCUUCCCUAAUUCACCUUUGCAAUAUGCCUUUUUUUAAGGCAUCAAAGCUUGAAUUUUCGUUCACUGGAGCCUAAUACUAAAAAUGUAUUCCUUUAUGUGACCCAAAACACUGCGAAUCAACCCAGGCGCUUUCAGUGCCGCUAUACAUAGUUUCUUCUCUAAUAACAGAUUUGAUCAAUACAUAUAUUUUAGGUACCUUUGUGGGGAAUGUAAAUGUUCUUGUACUUACCGAUGUGUUUGGUGAUUGUGCAUGUUUAUAUAUCAUGUGAUUUAUGUAUAUGUUGUACUCUGUAUUGCAGCAUGCAAUAAAUAUAUUUGCGUUUUCUUGAAAAUGCAGCA